AACGUUUACUACCCACACAUCCUGGACUUGAAGGUUGGGUAGAUAGCAUCCUUGAAGCCUUGGGAGCACAUGAACGUAUCUAGAAGUUUAAGUUAUUCAGGCAAGAUUGGGGUAGCACAUCUACAA